AGAGUUUGAUCAUGGCUCAGAUUGAACGCUGGCGGCAGGCCUAACACAUGCAAGUCGAGCGGUAGCACAGGGAGCUUGCUCCUGGGUGACGAGCGGCGGACGGGUGAGUAAUGUCUGGGAAACUGCCUGAUGGAGGGGGAUAACUACUGGAAACGGUAGCUAAUACCGCAUAACGUCUUCGGACCAAAGAGGGGGACCUUCGGGCCUCUUGCCAUCAGAUGUGCCCAGAUGGGAUUAGCUAGUAGGUGAGGUAAUGGCUCACCUAGGCGACGAUCCCUAGCUGGUCUGAGAGGAUGACCAGCCACACUGGAACUGAGACACGGUCCAGACUCCUACGGGAGGCAGCAGUGGGGAAUAUUGCACAAUGGGCGCAAGCCUGAUGCAGCCAUGCCGCGUGUAUGAAGAAGGCCUUCGGGUUGUAAAGUACUUUCAGCGAGGAGGAAGGCAUUGUGGUUAAUAACCACAGUGAUUGACGUUACUCGCAGAAGAAGCACCGGCUAACUCCGUGCCAGCAGCCGCGGUAAUACGGAGGGUGCAAGCGUUAAUCGGAAUUACUGGGCGUAAAGCGCACGCAGGCGGUCUGUCAAGUCGGAUGUGAAAUCCCCGGGCUCAACCUGGGAACUGCAUUCGAAACUGGCAGGCUAGAGUCUUGUAGAGGGGGGUAGAAUUCCUGGUGUAGCGGUGAAAUGCGUAGAUAUCAGGAGGAACACCUGUGGUGUAGACAGCUUACUGGACCAUUUCUGACGCUGAGACACGAAAGCGUGGGUAGCAAACAGGAUUAGAUACCCCUGUAGUCC
rnacentral:rRNA from 1 species